AAUACCAAAUGUCACCAUGGGAAAUUAUUGCAAAGGCACAAAGCUGAAAGAGAACAAUCUUUGGAUAAUAUCAGUGGUGAGAGAUAGAGUUAUAAUAGAGUUACAGUCACUUGAAACAUUACAAAGAACAACACCAGAUGGAAUUUGAGUGCAUGGACAACAAUGUGUCUUCUUUUAUUGGUGAAUGUAAAUGACUCAUACUAGAAGUGACUGAAUGUUGUGUGGUAGCACAACAGAAGAGAGAUAUGGACCGCUGUCAAUGCACAUUCUAGUACAGAGACAAAUGAUAAUGCUGACCACUGCCAACGCGACUUGAUAUAUAUAGAUAAUAACCUCAUUGAAAAUCAGAAUGAAGCUGAUGAUUGUAAUAGUUACGGAUGAGUGUGUAAACCACUAUCUGUAUCUGUAAUUAUGUAUGUAUGUAAUUAAAUUAUGUGUAUCCAUACUCAGAAGGGGCGGGCCGUAACUUUAUUCGAAGAUCAAGGCAGUGUGUUAUUUUUCAACUUUCAGAGCAACCUUUUCAAACGAAAACAAACCCCCUCCAAGACCACUAAAUCUGUAAACAUUGGAGUGACACGUCUUGGCAAGGUAAAACAACUAUAAGGUGAGAUGCAUUUUAAGCCUGCCAACUAAAACAAAAGAGGCAAGAUCACAAAAGCCCUUGUCAAUGGUGUAAGCACUGCUUGCUUACUACAAAAGGUUGCAUGAGACACCUUCUGCAGAAUUGAUGGCAGGUUACAGACACGCAGAGGAAUGUGGAGACCAGAAUAACGGAAGAUGAAGACAAAACUGAAGAACAUGCGUACCACUAUCAACAAGUUCCUAUUCUGGGACUACUUGGGAAUAUUCCCACUUUGGUCCUCAUUCACGUUAGGUCAUUUGGCCAGCCAUGCUUCAGACGCACCUUCAAAAGUGCAAGCAGACAGUACUUGCACCAUGCAAACAAACUGCCAUGCAGAGAAUUGGUUUGGGAUAGUAAAGAACCACAUCCUUUAAAAAGAACAUUUUCUGUAGCCUGGGGUGUUUAUUGGGAAGCUCCAUGCCUCUCUGAGAGCUCACUACAUAGAGCAAAGUUUCCAAUAUGGUACAUUGUUGGAAAAAAGACCUUGAGGGAACGGGGUGAUAUGCUGGAAAACUGAAGAACAAUAGCCAAAGAGGACUGUAAGCCCUCACCAAAGGAAAACCAAAUACUUUGACCCUCUUCAGAACCUUCCAACUCCAAAGGCAGUGAAAAGACGAAAGACAUAAAAGGCAAGGCACAUUGUUACACAUAAUGUAAAUUAUAUUAAGUUGUGAUGUAUACAGUUGUAUUUUUUGUGUAUAGAAAGCAAGCACAGUUGAUUCCAUCAGUAGGAUAUCACAAAUUGACAGUACAUUUGAAAAGUCACCAUGAUUGGACAGCUUGUAUAAUUUUUGUGACUGAAUGACUUCAUUUUUACCUUAUGUUGGUGCUAGAUUGAAGUUCCCCAAAAUAAAUAGGUUUCUUCCUGUAGGGGUCAUGACUAUUCUUAAAAUUUUUUGUAUCUGCAUGACAAACAGGCCAAGCAAUACGUUAUGGUUAUCUCAAAAGGUGACGUUACUGUACUGGGUCACUAGAUUUCUUUCAUUUGGAUCAUGUAUGUGCUCAGCAAAUUUCAUGGUAAUCCGGCCUGUUGUGGUGGCAGCCCGGCUGACGGUGAGUGUCCUGUUUAUUUCUCCUUUUUUUGUGAUUCAAUUUUCCCCUGGUGUUUUGCUUUCCUGUACUCUGCCUGCCUCCCUGUGUCUCCUUCCCUGCGUGUGCUCUCCCUCUCUCUCUCCCUUCGCUCCUGAGCCCAGCCAACAGUGCAGUGCACCUGCACCUUGUCAGCCUCCUCCUCUGCCUGCCACACCUGCCAGCAAUCAGCCUCAUCUCUGACAGUACUUCUACCCCAGUUCUAUUUUCGUAUAGGCUUCGCCCUCUAAGGCUCGGGUUUACCCCUUCACUGAGAAUUUUAGUCUACGCCCAUCCACAGUGUGGGCCUCUCCUACGUCCGCACCUUGUCUGCACGUUACAACGGUGAGACCCAGCCAUCGGCUCCCAUUUUUCUUCAGCACUGAGCUGUCUAAAGAGCAGACGAUUGUCUAAAGAGCAAAGACUUUCCAGACAGAAAACAAGAAGAACGAUGUCUUCCUGUAAGCCGGCCAGACCGACUACCUGUGUGGGUUACAUCGUGCUGGAUGAUCUCCGUCCCCGCUGCCAGGCGUGCCUCGGACCGGAGCAUGCCACCCGAGCGCUCACUCUCUGUUCGCACUGCCCGUUCUGCGCCCUUCUCCCCCCCGAAUAGUGGUGCUGUCGAGCAGAUAGCUUGCCGUUCAGGAUGAGGAGGUGUGGCGGACAAAGCCCUCGAUCUGUUGUUGACGGAAGAGCAAGAGUUGGAUGGCGCCACUCUUCCCAUUCAUGGGUCUCCAAGCGGCUCCUCGCCUCGACCAGGGAGACCCUGUGUGUCCACGCUGCUCCACAUUAGCUGCGGCUAAUGACAUUUAGCAACCGGUUUCAUUGCUGCUGGCCGACCCUUGUCGGUCAGAGCGGACCACUGAUCUAACCUGGAGGUGGAGAGUCCUAUAGGAUGGCCACGGUGUCAUUGCUGGGUGGGAUGGAUUUCAGCACCUGCGUUGAGCUGGGCUCCACAGUCGAGAUGACCUCUUUAAUGGCAGGGAGCACCAACUACUUUUUUCUUCUCUCAUUUGUAAAUAGCUGCCACGUUUGGCCAAUAGCAGGGAGAUGUUGGAGAACGCCACUAGGCCACUUUCACUUUAGCUGCUUUUCCUGGCAAAUAGACUGCCGUUAGUGCUACUCUUUAAGGGCCUGGAAGAAGGAGCGAUCCUUGUCAGCUUUGUCCGGAUGGAUCUUCGUAAGAUGUUCCUUGAGGUGUGAAGGUUUCAUCACCUCAUUCAAAAAACAUGUUCACACAAUAAUGAGUUGUGCAUUAUUUGGAGAAAGUACGAAGCCAUAAUUAAGACAAUUGAAUACUGAUGCCAUUUUGUCAUUUUUCUGAUAUUUUGCUUGCUAGUCUUGCAAAAAGUAAAUGAAAAAUGUGCAAAAGUAAUACAAGUGUAACAUGGUUUUCUGCCAUUCUAGACAAAAUAAACCUCCUUUGAGUUCCA